UACGAGGGGAGCAAGCGUUGUUCGGAUUUACUGGGCGUAAAGGACGCGCAGGCGGCUGCUCAAGUCAGGCGUGAAAGGCCUGGGCUCAACCCGGGAAUUGCGCUUGAGACUGGGCUGGCUUGAGUGCGGGAGAGGAUGGUGGAAUUCCCAGUGUAGAGGUGAAAUUCGUAGAUAUUGGGAAGAACACCGGUGGCGAAGGCGGCCAUCUGGACCGCAACUGACGCUGAGGCGCGAAAGCGUGGGGAGCAAACAGG
rnacentral:rRNA from 1 species